AGCGCCAUUUCCAGAGUUAUCAGUGAAUGAUGAUUUCAUAGCUCUUUAAAUGGUACUG
ensembl:miRNA gmo-mir-458 gmo-mir-458